rnacentral:rRNA from 1 species
AUUGAACGCUGGCGGCAGGCCUAACACAUGCAAGUCGAGCGCGCGGCGGACGGGUGAGUACUAUAUUGGGAUCUGCCCCAUAGAGAGGGGUACCUACUGUGAACGGUAGCUAAUACCGCAUACUAUCUGAUGAACCCCUAUGGGAUUAGCUAUUAGGUGAGGUAAUGGCGCACCUCGGCGACGAUCCCUAGCUGGUCUGAGAGGAUGAUCAGCCACACUGGAACUGAGACACGGUCCAGACUCCUACGGGAGGCAGCAGUGGGGAAUAUUGGACAAGGGGAGAAAGCCUGAUCCAGCCAUGCCGCGUGUAUGAAGAAGGCCUUCGGGUUGUAAAGUACUUUCAGCAGGGAGGCGGUAGCUGCAGAAGAAGCACCGGCUAACUACGUGCCAGCAGCCGCGGUAAUAC